GGACACUUGGCAUUAGGGACAGGACUCUGCCUCAUGAGCCAUGCUGGGCAUUCAGAGGAAAAGCAGUGUAAGGCUCACCAGGGAAGGGACGCCAGCCUCUAGAGCUGCUGGCUUCUGACCGCACUGACACAGGUAUCUGCUUCAGUUCCAGCCUCCAUACUCCUGCCUUGUGUUCCUGCCCCUACUUCCUUCUUUGCCGGACUGUCAUGUGGAAGUCAAUAGAACAUUGACUAAAUCACCGCAAGAGCAGGAUGAACGGGGCAGACCCACACUUGGUCAACCACAAUAGACUGAGAAGGUGUCCCCACAGGCUGUGAGUUGAAGGGCUGGUGGCCACGAUGUUGCUCCUGAAGGAUGAUGGCAUCUUCAAGAGGCAGAGCCUACCAGAAAGUCUGUACGUCAUUGGAAACACGCCCUCAAAGGGGACCAUGUGUCCAUCUUCAUUCUCUUUUGCAUCCUGCCUAUGAGAAACAGAUACGUGAUAAGUGAAGGUGAAUGCAAAGCAUACCCUGGUUGCAUGACGAAGAGCAAGAGAGCUGAGAUCAAGAGGCCACUGGUGGCCAGGGACUGAAAAUCAGCCAGAGCAGCACUGGAAGAGCUCUGCAGACGAGAUUAAAAGCAAAUCAAAGAAGAAAAAUUGUGGCUCAGUUUAUGUCUCCCUAAUUAAAACCCCGCCAGUCUCCCUUCUUUUUCUUUCCAGCUAAUGUUACACUAACGAGCUGAGUUUAGUGGCAUUUAUGUAGAUAAAAGUCCCAAUGAUUGAUCUCAAUGGCUUGUUAAAAUUAGUUUCAGUCCACCAUAUUGAUUUAAUUCCAUUGCUUGAAAG